CUCAGGGAGUUGUAUAUAAGCUGAAAUCAGCUCUGAUCUGCUUCAUUCACAUUCACUGUCAGUGCUGGUGAGGAACAUCAUGUUUCUUGUCUGGACUCUCAGCUUUCUGAUCCUCAGCUCCACUCUUGGGUUUCCCAUGCUUAAUAGCACAAGUGUAUCUCACAUGGAGACUUUUCCUAAUGUUACAGAGAGCAACUCCACCGAGUAUAUUAAGACCAAUCUGACGAACAGGAUGCAAAAAAGGCCUGUCACCCCGCGUUGUUUUCUGUCCACUUGUUCCUUGUUUAACCUGGUGUCCAGGCUACAGGCUAUGAGAUUGGGGACAUGACCAGGGAUCCAAAGGGAAUUGGCAAGAAGUGAAGCAUGAUCCAGUGGUGUUUUGACGGACUUUAAGAGGAUGUUGCACUAAUGCAUUACAGUGAAGUUAUGUGCUCAGCUAUAUAUUAGGCUUGCUUUAAUAUUCUGUGAAAACAGGAUUUAUGCAUGUUGUGUAUGGGCAAGAUACACACAGAAUCUUAUUCUCUUACAGUAGUGUUGUGAUGCUUUUUUUUAUUAUUUCUGUGAGAAUAAUUGUAGUGAAAUCCUGCUAGUUAUUUCUGUCCAGUCUUGCAGACAUUUAAAAAACAAUUUUUUUGUGAAACCUUGCCCAUUAUAUGGAAAAUGGAACAGCAUAUUAUAUUGAAAUUUUGUAUAUAUUUAUUACAAAUUAUGUGUAUAAGUACUCUGGUUUUUGCAGUUGGUUAUUGUGUGGUUUGAGUAUGCUUUCCUGUGCAUUGUGAAUUAAAGACCAUUUAGAUCAA